UACGAAGGGUGCAAACGUUGCUCGGAAUUAUUGGGCGUAAAGAGCUCGUAGGCGGCCUGUCGCGUCUGCUGUGAAAUCCCGGGGCUUAACCCUGGGCGUGCAGUGGAUACGGGCUGGCUGGAGGCAGGCAGGGGAGAACGGAAUUCCCGGUGUAGCGGUGAAAUGCGCAGAUAUCGAGAGGAACACCGGUGGCGAAGGCGGUUCUCUGGGCCUGUACUGACGCUGAGGAGCGAAAGCGUGGGGAGCGAACAGG
rnacentral:rRNA from 1 species